rnacentral:lncRNA from 1 species
CAAAAACAUGCAGUUUUCACUUGUGAUGGAGAGAGUUACUCCUGCAGUGCAGAACCCUACUUUCAGGGAGUAUGAUUACGUUUCUGACUCAGACGAUGACUGUGAGCCUGUGAAGAUAGCCAGUCAAGGACGUCUCAGCCAGAGCAUUCGUUGCAAGUACACAUACACUAAGGAGUGCAAGGGGAGGAUUCGUGCUGACAAGAGCCAGGAAAGUUCAUGGAAACAAAACAAAAAUGAGUGCUUUGAUCCCAAGAAAGCUUUGGAUGUCUCUCCAUCCUUGACGAAAGACAACCCUGGUCACCAAAGGCUCAGAAGACGGAGCAGUAGGUCUUCCACAAGUAGUGAACUCAGCACAUCAAUAAGUAUUUGCAGCGAUAGCAUUGGCAGCCCGAAAAGUACUGAUCAUACAGAUUCCGACUCUGAGAAACGAAUAGAAGUACAGAGGAAAGAUCAAGACUCUCUUGAACAGAAUGUGUACGAACAAUCGCCAGCAAGGAUACGGAAAGAGUCUAGCACAUCACUGGCAUUGACCUUUACGAAAAAUACAAAAAGGUACAGCACUGAUAAGAUACUACUCACUGAGCACAAGGAUCGGUUCACUACUUCAAAAUGUUCAAGCAUUAUCUGUAAGACUGAAGAGACUGCAUCAGAUCAUACAAUGACUAAAAGUACUGUCAGCCUUGCCAGAUUUAAAACCACCAGAGUGGAAAUAGAGGAAAAAGGGGACCACUUCGGGUUUGAGGCAGGAAUGCUUGCAACCACAGAAGAGCCAUUAAAAAAAGAUUACCCCAAAAAUGUCAUAUCACCAAGAGGGUCUGGUAUAACACCAAAUCCAAUGGAAACCACCAACAAUAGAGAUUCUAGCCAUGUUUUUAAACUCAAAAAAGAUGCUGUCACAUCAAAGGGUAAAUCCCACAAGAAAAGAACAUAUAGUUCUGAAUUGUCAGCACCCAUUUUUGAGAAAGCCAGCAAUGACAGCAUAUCAAGUGAAGAAGCCAGCAGAAGCUCAAAUGAUCUAUUCCCUGACCCCCCACCUCUCUGCAGUACAUUUGUGGACAAAGUAUGUUUAUCACAUUCAAAAGUCCAUGAUGCUACAGCACAAAACAAUAGCCAAUGUCUCAUUCCCUAUCCUUCAGAGCAUGAUCAGAGUCCUAUAAAGUCGCC